rnacentral:rRNA from 1 species
AGGACGAACGCUGGCGGCGUGCUUAACACAUGCAAGUCGAACGGAAAGGCCCUUCGGGGUACUCGAGUGGCGAACGGGUGAGUAACACGUGGGUGAUCUGCCCUGCACUUCGGGAUAAGCCUGGGAAACUGGGUCUAAUACCGGAUAUGACCAUGGGAUGCAUGUCUUGUGGUGGAAAGCUUUUGCGGUGUGGGAUGGGCCCGCGGCCUAUCAGCUUGUUGGUGGGGUGAUGGCCUACCAAGGCGACGACGGGUAGCCGGCCUGAGAGGGUGUCCGGCCACACUGGGACUGAGAUACGGCCCAGACUCCUACGGGAGGCAGCAGUGGGGAAUAUUGCACAAUGGGCGCAAGCCUGAUGCAGCGACGCCGCGUGGGGGAUGACGGCCUUCGGGUUGUAACCCUUUCAGUAGGGACGAAGCGCAAGUGACGGUACCUACAGAAGAAGGACCGGCCAACUACGUGCCAGCAGCCGC